GAAUCUUAUUUCCAUCCACCUCUUCAGGGGGAGCAUAGGAAGGAAGAAGAGGUGUCUUUUCCUUUCCCUUCUUCUUUGUGCUCUCCCAACUUUCAACUUCAAAGGGAAAAUCUGGGUAUAAACCCUAUACCUAAUAACGAUACUCAGGGGGAAUCACCUAAAUCUCGAGGGAGACUGAAUGGACCAGAUUUGAGAAUCUAUACUCGGCGGAACAAGACAGAUAUAGCCAUCGAGCAGGAGACUGCUGAUCAACCGGAAUCUCUGGAUUCAAUUCCUGAACAUCCUGAGGUAUGUGAUGAGUCUCCUUUGGUUCCUGAAGAGUCUAAUUUUAAUUCUCAGUCUACUCUUCCUUCUUCUAAUAAUGAUCUUGAUAUUCCUAUUGCUCUCAGAAAAGGUGUUAGAACCUGUACUAAACAUCCCAUCUCUAACUUCAUUUCCUAUGAUUCUUUGUCUCCAUCCUAUAGAGCCUUUCUAUUGUCUGUUUCCUCUGUUUCUAUUCCACAGGAUUGGAAGAAAGCAUGCCUUGAUCCAAAAUGGAAGGCAGUCAUGGUGGAGGAGAUGAAAGCUCUAGCAAAGAAUGAGACAUGGGAACUUGUUACUCUUCCACUGGGGAAAAAACCAAUUGGAUGCAAGUGGGUGUUCACUGUGAAACAUAGAGCAGAUGGUUCAAUUGAAAGGUAUAAGGCUAGGCUGGUAGCAAAAGGCUUCACACAGACGUAUGGGGUAGAUUACCAGGAAACGUUUGCUCCUGUUGCUAAAAUGAAUACCAUCAGAAUUUUACUAUCAUGUGCAGUAAAUCUUGAGUGGGAUUUGCAACAGUUUGAUGUAAAAAAUGCCUUUCUACAUGGUGAUUUGGAAGAAGAAGUGUAUAUGGAAAUUCCUCCAGGGUUUGAGGAUGAGAAGACCAAAGAGAAAGUUUGCAGAUUAAAAAAGGCUUUAUAUGGUCUAAAACAGUCACCUAGAGCAUGGUUUGAUAGGUUCAGUAAAGCGAUGAUCUCCUUUGGAUACUGCCAAAGCAAUGCUGAUCAUACCUUGUUUAUGAGGCAUCGUAGAGGCAAAAUCACACUACUUAUUGUCUAUGUGGAUGAUAUUGUGGUAACUGGUGAUGAUAGGGAAGAAAUGAUUCAUCUAAAUGAACAACUAGCAUAGGAGUUUGAAGUCAAAGAUUUGGGAAUGCUAAAAAUACUUUCUUGGAAUAGAGGUUGCCAGAUCAGAUAAAGGAAUCUUUAUUUCUCAAAGGAAGUACAUACUGGAUCUAUUAGAGGAAUCAAGAAUGCUAGGUUGUAAACCAGCAGAGUCUCCCAUUGAGGCAAAUCACAAAUUGCAAGCUGGAGUUGGGGAAUCCGUGGAUAUUGGGAGAUAUCAGAGGUUGGUUGGCAGACUAAUUUAUCUUUCGCACACUAGACCGGACAUAGCAUAUGCAGUUGGUCUAGUGAGCCAGUAUAUGCAUGAUCCUCAUGAAUCUCAUUUGGAGGUUGUUUUCCGCAUCUUGCGAUACCUAAAAUCUACACCUGGGAAAGGAUUUCUUUUCUCCAAGCAUGGUCACCUUUAGAUUAAAGCCUUUACAGAUGCAGAUUGGGCUGAGUCUCUUGAUGAUAGGAGAUCGACAUCUGGUUACUGUACUUUUGUUGGUGGUAAUCUAGUCACUUGGAGAAGCAAGAAGCAAAAUGUGACAGUUAGAUCCAACAGAGGCUGAGUUUAGAGCAAUGGCUCAAGGUAUUUGUGAACUAUUGUGGUUACGAAAGUUGAUGGAGGAAUUAAAAUUGCUGGAAACUAGUGGUUUGUCCCUGUUCUGUGAUAACAAAGCUGCCAUCAGUAUAGUUCACAAUCCAGUUCAGCAUGAUCGGACCAAGCAUAUAGAGAUUGACAGACACUUCAUAAAAGAAAAAAUUGUGGAUAAUUCCUUAAGUAUCUCUUACGUAGGGUCGAAAGACCAGUUAGCUGAUGUGUUCACUAAGGGAUUAAGUUGUAAGGGGUUUCAUACCCUAGUUUGCAAGUUGGGCAUGUGCAACAUACAUGAACCAACUUGAGGGGGAGUGUUAGAAUCCCUCAAUUAGUGUAAAUCCCUUAAUCAGUGUAAAUUAGCUGUAAAUUAGAAUAUAAUUAGGAAUCAUUGUAUUUAUUGGCUAUUAUUAGUUUCCUAGUUAGUCCUAGCCUUUGUAUAUAAAUUAGAAUGCUUGUAAAUCAUUUUAGUAUGAAGAAAUAUAAAAGAAAAAUUUUCAAAUCCUCUGUUUUCUACAUGGUAUCAGAGCUGUGUCAAAAUUUAUUGGCGUGAACAGUAUAGUUCUGGAUAAUUUUUUUUUUGGGUCAAGUUUCUACAUCGUUCAAGGAAGGAGGUGACUGUCACUACCCACUUGAGGAGGAAGGACACCAGCCGAUCGGCCUACGCCCAGAGUCCCGCCGCCGUCCAGUGAAGCUCGUUAGCUCACAUGCCUCCAGAAGUCUAGCGUCGGCGCGUGCACCCU
rnacentral:misc_RNA from 1 species